AGUGAACGCUGGCGGCAGGCCUAACACAUGCAAGUCGAACGGCAGCACAGUAAGAGCUUGCUCUUACGGGUGGCGAGUGGCGGUCUGGUGAGGUAUACAUCGGAAUCUACUUUUUCGUGGGGUAUUACGUUGUGCAACUUACGCUAAUACCGCAUACGACCUACGGGUUAAAGCACGUUAUCUUCGGACCUUGCGCGAUUGAAUGAGCCGAUGUCGGAUUAGCUAGUUGGCGGGGUAAAGGCUCACCAAGGCGACGAUCCGUAGCUGGUAUGAGAGGAUGAUCAGCCAGACUGGAAGUGAGACACGGUACAGACACCUACGGGAGGCAGCAGUGGAGAAUAUUACACGAUGGAGGAGAGGCUGAUCCAGCAAUACCGCGUGAGUGAAGAAGGACUUAGGGUUGGAAAGUGAUUAUGUUGGGAAAGUAAAGCAGCAGGUUAAGACCCGACUGUAAUGACGGUACCAGAAGAAGAAGCACCGGCUAACUUCGUG
rnacentral:rRNA from 1 species